GCCACAUUGAAACACUGGUUCUCGGACGAUCAUCGAAGUUAAGCAAUGUCGAGCCUGAUUAGUACUUAUAUAGGUGAUCGCUUGGGAAUACCAGGUACUGUAAG